rnacentral:rRNA from 1 species
CGAAGGAUGCAAGCGUUAUCCGGAUUCAUUGGGUUUAAAGGGAGCGUAGGUGGUCUUAUAAGUCAGUGGUGAAAUCUCGCAGCUUAACUGCGAAACUGCCAUUGAUACUGUAGGACUUGAGUAUAGUUGCUGUGGGCGGAAUAUGACAUGUAGUGGUGAAAUACUUAGAGAUGUCAUAGAACACCGAUUGCGAAGGCAGCUCACAAACCUAUAACUGACACUGAGGCUCGAAAGUGCGGGGAUCAAACAGGAUUAGAUACCCUGGUAGUCCGCACUGUAAACGAUGAUUACUCGCUGCUAGAAGGCAACUUUUAGUGGCUUAGCGAAAGCGAUAAGUAAUCCACCUGGGGAGUACGCCGGCAACGGUG